GCCACUGAAAACGAAAGAGCUUGAUUUAGCUUGCCUGCGUGCGGUUUGGAUGGGGUUCACGCAACAUUAAAAUACCUUAAUAUAAGGGGCCCAACUUUGGUUUUAGAAGUGGUGGGAACAUAACUUUGCGAGGGGUCUGGCAUCUAAAGCAAAUUUCCUGCAUUUCUACACAAUCCAAUAUAACCAAUGGCCCUUCUAGCCCUCUCUAUUCAGAACAACUCAAAUUAAGAAAAAAUGCACCCAGUCAUCAAGCUAGGAAAAGCCUCUAUCAACACUUGUUACAGUUUGAAAUCAACUUUGGAGAUUGGACUUCCCUGGCUGCUUGACCCUGCUGAGACCCCUGUCACCAUCACAGAUUGGACUUCCCUGGCUGCUUGACCCUGCUGAGACCCCUGUCACCAUCACAGAUUGGACUUCCCUGGCUGCUUGACCCUGCUGAGACCCGUCACAAUCUGAUCCUCCUAAGAUGAGGCAUGACAAAGAUUUACUUGGUGAACAUUUAUACAUUAUAUUUUCCAAGAAUAUAAUCAAUGGUUCAGUAAUUGAACCAGAUCCCAGACUGUAAUAAGCUGUCCUGUAGCUACUGUAGGUCCAACUAUCAACUCAAGAUGGAACUUUGUAUCAUUCACUGAUAUUGUUAUUGUUAGUAUUCUGCAAAAUUCGCCUGAGCUCUGUAGACUGGCUGUCUGACCCUUACUGGGACACAUGUCACCAUCUGAUCCUUUUAAGACAUGAUGAUCAUAGUAUUGUGUACUGACGGUGAAGCCUGUAGAGCUGUUUAUUACUGUGUUAGUGUUAAAAGUAGGCAAUUAGCUAGGGAAACUGACAAAUCGAUAACAUUAUAUUGCUAUCCUGACUCUAAUAAAAACUCACAUUGCACAAAAGAAAUGUCAGAAUUAUAGGUCUUCAAUCGUUUGCCCGCUGGUUUCAUCAUUUGAUUCAGGUCUGGUGUGAAUGAGGCAAAAAUAAUCCCUACCUAGUUUUGGCCAGCUCUCUCUAACAAUACAUCAAGUGGCGAAAGCUAGCUAAAUUAAUUUACUUCUGUUGAAAUGGGACAAAAAGUCUACAAAACAUUUCCAUACAAACAGCUGUUAGAUAGUAAUAAUAGCCAUCUCACAUAGCAA